rnacentral:tRNA from 10 species
GGCCCCUUAGCUCAGUGGUUAGAGCACUCGACUCAUAAUCGAUUGGUCCCCAGUUCAAGUCUGGGAGGGGCCACCA